rnacentral:rRNA from 1 species
CGGCGGGCCUACACAUGCAAGCCGAGCGGUAGAGUUUCUUCGGAAACUUGAGAGCGGCGCACGGGUGCGUAACACGUGUGCAACCUACCUUUAUCUGGGGGAUAGCCUUUCGAAAGGAAGAUUAAUACCCCAUAAUAUAAUGAUUGGCAUCAAUUAUUAUUGAAAACUCCGGUGGAUAGAGAUGGGCACGCGCAAGAUUAGAUAGUUGGUGAGGUAACGGCUCACCAAGUCAAUGAUCUUUAGGGGUCCUGAGAGGGAGAUCCCCCACACUGGUACUGAGACACGGACCAGACUCCUACGGGAGGCAGCAGUGAGGAAUAUUGGACAAUGGGUGAGAGCCUGAUCCAGCCAUCCCGCGUGAAGGAAGACGGUCCUAUGGAUUGUAAACUUCUUUUGUACAGGGAUAAACCUACUCUCGUGAGGGUAGCUGAAGGUACUGUACGAAUAAGCACCGGCUAACUCCGUGCCAGCAGCCGCGGUAAUACGGAGGGUGCAAGCGUUAUCCGGAUUUAUUGGGUUUAAAGGGUCCGUAGGCGGACUUGUAAGUCAGUGGUGAAAUCUCAUAGCUUAACUAUGAAACUGCCAUUGAUACUGCAGGUCUUGAGUAAAUUUGAAGUGGCUGGAAUAAGUAGUGUAGCGGUGAAAUGCAUAGAUAUUACUUAGAACACCAAUUGCGAAGGCAGGUCACUAAGAUUUAACUGACGCUGAUGGACGAAAGCGUGGGUAGCGAACAGGAUUAGAUACCCUGGUAGUCCACGCCGUAAACGAUGCUAACUCGUUUUUGGAUUUUCGGAUUCAGAGACCAAGCGAAAGUGAUAAGUUAGCCACCUGGGGAGUACGUCCGCAAGGAUGAAACUCAAAGGAAUUGACGGGGGCCCGCACAAGCGGUGGAUUAUGUGGUUUAAUUCGAUGAUACGCGAGGAACCUUACCAAGACUUAAAUGGGAAUUGACAGGUUUAGAAAUAGACCCUCCUUCGGGCAAUUUCCAAGGUGCUGCAUGGUUGUCGUCAGCUCGUGCCGUGAGGUGUUAGGUUAAGUCCUGCAACGA